rnacentral:rRNA from 1 species
AUUAAGCCAUGCAUGUUUAUGUAAUAAGGACGAACAGCUCAGUAGAACUACGAUUAUUUAGUCUGUCUGAUAAAGAUAACUACGUGAAAAUGUAGCUAAGAGAGGACAGAAUAAGACGUAGGACUAUCAGUUAGUUGGUAGUGUAAUGGACUACCAAGACGAUGACGGGUAACGGGGAAUCAGGGUUUGAUACCGGAGAGGGAGCCUGAGAGAUAGCUCCCACGUCCAAGGACGGCAGCAGGCGCGAAAA